rnacentral:rRNA from 1 species
AGUGGGCGAGGGCUACACACGUACUACAAUGGGUCGGUAACGAAAGGGCUGCCCAACCCGCGAGGGGGAGCCAAUCCCAGAAAACCGAUCGUAGUCCGGAUCGCAGUCUGCAACUCGACUGCGUGAAGUCGGAAUCGCUAGUAAUCGCGAAUCAGCAUGUCCGCGGUCGAAUACGUUCCCGGGCCUU